GAACGUUGAGGUCCGUGUUGUAAUUUUAGUUUUUUCGUAAAUCUACAUGUAAGUUAGCGCUAGUAAUUUAGCAAAGGUAAAAUAGAGAAGGAGAUUCUCAGUAGAAAAUUUUGGAAAUAUAUAAAAAUUUUAUCCAGAUAACGAGAGAGGGGUGGAAAAUGGCGUGCCAGCAGCCGCGGUUAUACUUCAGCCUCAAGCUAAAAUUUUUGUACAAAAUUGUGCUUUGUUGGUGUUACUAGGUUUUAUUUGAGUUGUAGAGUAGAAUCUAAACUUGAAGAAAUGAUAGAAAAAAAGAAGCAUGAAAUUUAUUAUAGGGACCAGGAUUAGAUACCCUGUUACUUUUAAUUAAGAGGUUUUGGAAUAAUAGUAUUAAUGAAAUUUAACGGAUUUGGCGGCAAGAUAGCCCCUUAGAGGAACCUGCCCUGUAAACGAUGAACCACGAGGGACGUAACUUUCUUUGGUAAUCAGUUUGUAUACCGCUGUUGUCAGUUAGAUUCUUGAGAAUAUUUUCGUUUAUGAUAAUUUCAUUGACUUCAAGUAAAGGUGCAGCUUAUGUGAAAGGUAGAGGUGGGUUACAUUUAUAAGAAUAAAACGGAUAAGAUAAAUGAAAGGAUCUUUGAAGGUGGAUUUAACUGUAAAACUUAAGUAGGUUUGGUGAGAGCUCUAUCUUGUGUACACACCGCCCGUCGCUCUCUUUUUUAAAACGAGAUAAGUCGUAACAAGGUAAGUGUAAUGGAAAUUGUACUUGA
rnacentral:ncRNA from 1 species